UGCAAUUUUAAACUUUUUGCAAUUAUCAUUAAUAUUAUAUAUAUAUGAUGAAAGAAUUGAUUAACUUUUGAACAAAUCAAUUUUUUGCAAGAAAUGUUCGGUGGAAUACUCCUGAAAAAUACAUAUGGAAGAAUAUUCCGAUAAAAUACAUAUAUCGCUGACUGCGGGGACUAAAAGUGUCUGCUAACACUCGUAUUAUUGCGCCUGCGAAAAUUCAUCCCGCCGUUUAGCACCUCUACAGCACAUCUGUACAGAUGGCUGAAAUCUUCAAAAACGGUAGUAGGACCGUCUGCGUUAUGUCACAGGAUAUCGCAGGGUUUGUUUCAGAGUGCAAAGGAAAGAAGAUGGUAUAUUAAUGUACACAAGUG